rnacentral:lncRNA from 1 species
CUGCGAUCUCAAUUGACUACUCAUUCAGCUUUUUGAUGGACCAUCGCUGCAAUCCCACCAAGUCAGCCGAAUUCAUAUGAGAAUCAACCAAACAAAUAACUGGUUGACUCGAACCACUCAAGAAUCAUUGCUCUGCCGCACAAUCUUCUAUAAUCAUAAUGAAAGCUCACUUUGAGCAACACGCAGCAUUAAUUGCUGCACAUCCUG